UACGCAGGGGGCAAGCGUUGUCCGGAAUCAUUGGGCGUAAAGAGCGUGUAGGCGGCCCGAUAAGUCCGCUGUGAAAGUCCAGGGCUCAACCCUGGGAUGCCGGUGGAUACUGUCGGGCUCGAGUCCGGAAGAGGAGUGUGGAAUUCCUGGUGUAGCGGUGAAAUGCGCAGAUAUCAGGAGGAACACCAAUGGCGAAGGCAGCACUCUGGGACGUGACUGACGCUGAGACGCGAAAGCGUGGGGAGCAAACAGG
rnacentral:rRNA from 1 species